rnacentral:rRNA from 1 species
UGAGGAAUAUUGGUCAAUGGACGCAAGUCUGAACCAGCCAAGUAGCGUGCAGGAUGACGGCCCUAUGGGUUGUAAACUGCUUUUAUAUGGGGAUAAAGUGGGGAACGUGUUCCUUUUUGCAGGUACCAUAUGAAUAAGGAACGGCUAAUUCCGUGCCAGCAGCCGCGGUAAUACGGAAGGUUCGGGCGUUAUCCGGAUUUAAUGGGUUUAAAGGGAGCGUAGGCCGUUUGGUAAGCGUGUUGUGAAAUGUAGGAGCUCAACUUCUAGAUUGCAGCGCGAACUGUCAGACUUGAGUGCGCACAACGUAGGCGGAAUUCAUGGUGUAGCGGUGAAAUGCUUAGAUAUCAUGAAGAACUCCGAUUGCGAAGGCAGCUUACGGGAGCGCAACUGACGCUGAAGCUCGAAGGUGCGGGUAUCGAACAGG